AUAUUCAAAAGCACAAGCCAGGCAAACGGAUCAAACAAGCAAUCUGGACGCGUUCUUCAUCAUGUUCAUCAAUUCAUCACCAGAAAAUCCAUCAAGAACAAAAGUUCACGAAACAUGACAAAUCAUACAUCAAUUAACUCGUCUAAACAAGUACAACCACAAUAUCCACAUGAUUUAACCUAAUUCCUAAUAUGCUGAACAAAUCGAUCAAAAGAAACUUUGACAUCAAAUCUUAAAUCCA
rnacentral:lncRNA from 1 species